rnacentral:rRNA from 1 species
UACAGAGGUCCCGAGCGUUGUUCGGAUUCACUGGGCGUAAAGGGUGCGUAGGUGGUGAGGUAAGUCGGAUGUGAAAUCUCCAAGCUCAACUUGGAAAUGGCAUUGGAAACUACCUCGCUGGAGGUUUGGAGGGGGGACUGGAAUUCUCGGUGUAGCAGUGAAAUGCGCAGAUAUCAGGAGGAACACCGAUGGCGAAGGCAGGUCUCUGGGCAUUAACUGACGCUGAGGAGCGAAAGCAUGGGGAGCGAACAGG